AUGUUGACAGUUGCCUUAACGGUGAGUGUCUUGUCAUUUCUCUAAUGUAUAGGUUCGCUAGAUUAUACACAGCUUAGCUCACAACAAUCUCACCGCUCAUUUCUCAUCUCUCAAAUUUGGCACGGAAAAGCUUUUCGAUACAAUGAAAAUUAUGAUUACCACUACUGCUUUUUGAAAUUCGAAAAGAGAAGUCGAUUUUCGUUGGCAUCCUGUGUAUACACACAAUUACUAUACACAAAUUACUGUGAUUUUUUAUAACAAUGACAACGAUAAUCGAUGACAUAUUUGCUUAUUGCCACUAUUUAUCCUAUUUAUAGAUAUCCAAAGAGACUAAUUAUCAGCGGUUAGGAACAGUAACCAUGGUGCAAUAAAUAAUAAUACCAUUAUUCUAUUUCAUAACAAAUACAGCAAAUGUGUUACGUGAAAUGGCGUACAAUUCGCAGUUUUAUUGAUUGAACUUUUCAGCACACUUGUGCUAAUCAACAAAACCAGUGAAGCAGUUAUAAUUUUUUUCAUUCGUCGCACACAACUAGACGAUGUUUUCAUUACUCAUUAGUAAUCACCGCAUCUAGUCGAAUGAUUUUAGCAAUGUUCUCAAAGCUUUUAUUUAGGAUUUAAAAUCAGUAAUACAAACUCUCAGGGCAAUAGAUGUCAUUUUGUGAUAUUGGAUGUUUUUUUGUUGAAUAGCGUAAUUUUUGAGUAACUAUUUAAAAUGCUCUGUGAAAAAGGGUUAGAUCUAAGACAAGACGUGACAGCUGGUCACCGUUACAUUCAACCAAUUUGAACCGGCUGCUGAUUGGCUGAAUUCGAUAACGCAAUCGUCACGUAGAAAAUACAACGAGGUUACUUUUCACUGUAAAGCAGUGAUGCUGGAGAGUCAUAAUUUAGCUAUUAUAAUUGUUCAUAAAUAAUGAUGCAAAAGUAUGCAAGGUAUAUGAUAUUACCGAGUAAUGUAUUUCACUGUUAUAACUUUAAAAAUGCAUUGAUUAAUCGUUUAUUACUAUUUCGGUUGCAGUCCAAGAAACUUAGAAAGAAAAAAUUUGGGUACCAAGAAACUUAGGAAGAAAAAAUUUGAUAAUAGAAGUAUGCUUUAUUGAACAUAAAAUAAUAAAUAAGAAUUGAGUA